rnacentral:rRNA from 1 species
AGAUUGAACGCUGGCGGCAUGCCUAACACAUGCAAGUCGAACGGGAGUAGCAAUACUCUAGUGGCGGACGGGUGAGGAAUACGUAGGAAUUUGCCCUUAAGUGGGGGAUAACCCGGGGAAACCCGGAUUAAUACCGCAUGACCUCGAAAGAGCAAAGUGGGGGAUCGCAAGACCUCACGCUUUUGGAGAAGCCUACGUCGGAUUAGCUAGUUGGUGAGGUAAUGGCUCACCAAGGCGACGAUCCGUAACUGGUCUGAGAGGAUGAUCAGUCACACCGGAACUGAGACACGGUCCGGACUCCGUACGGGAGCAGCGAGGUGGGAACUAUUGGACAAGUCGGGAC